GUACGAGGCGAAGUUCGCGGAGUUAUCCAGGUUUGCACCUCAUUUGGUGGAGAAUGAGGAACGUAUGACGCAGAUGUUUCUGAGAUGUUUGAAACCCAACAUACGUCAAUAUCUCAUUUCUCAUAAAUUUUCUCUCUAUUCAGAUGUUGUCAACAGGGCUCAAUUAUUAGAGCGAGAUAACGAGUACGGUCAACCAAGGGACCACAACCAGGAUCAUACCGGUGACAGCAGUCAUCAGAACAACGAUAACCAGGGGAGAAAGAAAAAUACGGACAAGAGCGACAACCACUCUGGUGGUAAUCAUGGUCAUG
rnacentral:lncRNA from 1 species